rnacentral:rRNA from 2 species
GGUUAAGCGACUAAGCGUACACGGUGGAUGCCCUGGCAGUCAGAGGCGAUGAAGGACGUGCUAAUCUGCGAUAAGCGUCGGUAAGGUGAUAUGAACCGUUAUAACCGGCGAUUUCCGAAUGGGGAAACCCAGUGUGAUUCGUCACACUAUCAUUAACUGAAUCCAUAGGUUAAUGAGGCGAACCGGGGGAACUGAAACAUCUAAGUACCCCGAGGAAAAGAAAUCAACCGAGAUUCCCCCAGUAGCGGCGAGCGAACGGGGAGCAGCCCAGAGCCUGAAUCAGUGUGUGUGUUAGUGGAAGCGUCUGGAAAGGCGCGCGAUACAGGGUGACAGCCCCGUACACAAAAAUGCACAUGCUGUGAGCUCGAUGAGUAGGGCGGGACACGUGGUAUCCUGUCUGAAUAUGGGGGGACCAUCCUCCAAGGCUAAAUACUCCUGACUGACCGAUAGUGAACCAGUACCGUGAGGGAAAGGCGAAAAGAACCCCGGCGAGGGGAGUGAAAAAGAACCUGAAACCGUGUACGUACAAGCAGUGGGAGCCUCUUUAUGGGGUGACUGCGUACCUUUUGUAUAAUGGGUCAGCGACUUAUAUUCUGUAGCAAGGUUAACCGAAUAGGGGAGCCGAAGGGAAACCGAGUCUUAACUGGGCGUUAAGUUGCAGGGUAUAGACCCGAAACCCGGUGAUCUAGCCAUGGGCAGGUUGAAGGUUGGGUAACACUAACUGGAGGACCGAACCGACUAAUGUUGAAAAAUUAGCGGAUGACUUGUGGCUGGGGGUGAAAGGCCAAUCAAACCGGGAGAUAGCUGGUUCUCCCCGAAAGCUAUUUAGGUAGCGCCUCGUGAAUUCAUCUCCGGGGGUAGAGCACUGUUUCGGCAAGGGGGUCAUCCCGACUUACCAACCCGAUGCAAACUGCGAAUACCGGAGAAUGUUAUCACGGGAGACACACGGCGGGUGCUAACGUCCGUCGUGAAGAGGGAAACAACCCAGACCGCCAGCUAAGGUCCCAAAGUCAUGGUUAAGUGGGAAACGAUGUGGGAAGGCCCAGACAGCCAGGAUGUUGGCUUAGAAGCAGCCAUCAUUUAAAGAAAGCGUAAUAGCUCACUGGUCGAGUCGGCCUGCGCGGAAGAUGUAACGGGGCUAAACCAUGCACCGAAGCUGCGGCAGCGACGCUUAUGCGUUGUUGGGUAGGGGAGCGUUCUGUAAGCCUGCGAAGGUGUACUGUGAGGUAUGCUGGAGGUAUCAGAAGUGCGAAUGCUGACAUAAGUAACGAUAAAGCGGGUGAAAAGCCCGCUCGCCGGAAGACCAAGGGUUCCUGUCCAACGUUAAUCGGGGCAGGGUGAGUCGACCCCUAAGGCGAGGCCGAAAGGCGUAGUCGAUGGGAAACAGGUUAAUAUUCCUGUACUUGGUGUUACUGCGAAGGGGGGACGGAGAAGGCUAUGUUGGCCGGGCGACGGUUGUCCCGGUUUAAGCGUGUAGGCUGGUUUUCCAGGCAAAUCCGGAAAAUCAAGGCUGAGGCGUGAUGACGAGGCACUACGGUGCUGAAGCAACAAAUGCCCUGCUUCCAGGAAAAGCCUCUAAGCAUCAGGUAACAUCAAAUCGUACCCCAAACCGACACAGGUGGUCAGGUAGAGAAUACCAAGGCGCUUGAGAGAACUCGGGUGAAGGAACUAGGCAAAAUGGUGCCGUAACUUCGGGAGAAGGCACGCUGAUACGUAGGUGAAGCGACUUGCUCGUGGAGCUGAAAUCAGUCGAAGAUACCAGCUGGCUGCAACUGUUUAUUAAAAACACAGCACUGUGCAAACACGAAAGUGGACGUAUACGGUGUGACGCCUGCCCGGUGCCGGAAGGUUAAUUGAUGGGGUUAGCGGUAACGCGAAGCUCUUGAUCGAAGCCCCGGUAAACGGCGGCCGUAACUAUAACGGUCCUAAGGUAGCGAAAUUCCUUGUCGGGUAAGUUCCGACCUGCACGAAUGGCGUAAUGAUGGCCAGGCUGUCUCCACCCGAGACUCAGUGAAAUUGAACUCGCUGUGAAGAUGCAGUGUACCCGCGGCAAGACGGAAAGACCCCGUGAACCUUUACUAUAGCUUGACACUGAACAUUGAGCCUUGAUGUGUAGGAUAGGUGGGAGGCUUUGAAGUGUGGACGCCAGUCUGCAUGGAGCCGACCUUGAAAUACCACCCUUUAAUGUUUGAUGUUCUAACGUUGGCCCCUAAUCGGGGUUGCGGACAGUGUCUGGUGGGUAGUUUGACUGGGGCGGUCUCCUCCUAAAGAGUAACGGAGGAGCACGAAGGUUGGCUAAUCCUGGUCGGACAUCAGGAGGUUAGUGCAAUGGCAUAAGCCAGCUUGACUGCGAGCGUGACGGCGCGAGCAGGUGCGAAAGCAGGUCAUAGUGAUCCGGUGGUUCUGAAUGGAAGGGCCAUCGCUCAACGGAUAAAAGGUACUCCGGGGAUAACAGGCUGAUACCGCCCAAGAGUUCAUAUCGACGGCGGUGUUUGGCACCUCGAUGUCGGCUCAUCACAUCCUGGGGCUGAAGUAGGUCCCAAGGGUAUGGCUGUUCGCCAUUUAAAGUGGUACGCGAGCUGGGUUUAGAACGUCGUGAGACAGUUCGGUCCCUAUCUGCCGUGGGCGCUGGAGAACUGAGGGGGGCUGCUCCUAGUACGAGAGGACCGGAGUGGACGCAUCACUGGUGUUCGGGUUGUCAUGCCAAUGGCACUGCCCGGUAGCUAAAUGCGGAAGAGAUAAGUGCUGAAAGCAUCUAAGCACGAAACUUGCCCCGAGAUGAGUUCUCCCUGACUCCCUGAGAGUCCUGAAGGAACGUUGAAGACGACGACGUUGAUAGGCCGGGUGUGUAAGCGCAGCGAUGCGUUGAGCUAACCGGUACUAAUGAACCGUGAGGCUUAACCUU